AGAAUCAACGCUGGCGGCGUGCCUAACACAUGCAAGUCGAACGCGGUUAUUUCAGCUCCGCAAGGCGUUGGGAUAACUGAGUGGCGAACGGGUGAGUAACACGUGGGUGAUCUACCUUCGAGUGGGGGAUAACGUUCCGAAAGGAACGCUAAUACCGCAUGACGUUCUGGGUUUGAAGACCUGGAAACCAAAGCCGGGGACCGCAAGGCCUGGCGCUUGGAGAGGAGCCCGCGUCCGAUUAGCUAGUUGGCGGGUAACGCCCACCAAGGCGACGAUC
rnacentral:rRNA from 1 species